GUGACGGUACCUGCAGAAGAAGCGCCGGCUAACUACGUGCCAGCAGCCGCGGUAAUACGUAGGGCGCAAGCGUUAUCCGGAAUUAUUGGGCGUAAAGAGCUCGUAGGCGGUUUGUCGCGUCUGCCGUGAAAGUCCGGGGCUCAACUCCGGAUCUGCGGUGGGUACGGGCAGACUAGAGUGAUGUAGGGGAGACUGGAAUUCCUGGUGUAGCGGUGAAAUGCGCAGAUAUCAGGAGGAACACCGAUGGCGAAGGCAGGUCUCUGGGCAUUAACUGACGCUGAGGAGCGAAAGCAUGGGGAGCGAACAGGAUUAGAUACCCUGGUAGUCCAUGCCGUAAACGUUGGGCACUAGGUGUGGGGGACAUUCCACGUUUUCCGCGCCGUAGCUAACGCAUUAAGUGCCCCGCCUGGGGAGUACGGCCGCAAGGCUAAAACUCAAAGGAAUUGACGGGGGCCCGCACAAGCGGCGGAGCAUGCGGAUUAAUUCGAUGCAACGCGAAGAACCUUACCAAGGCUUGACAUGGACCGGACCGCCGCAGAAAUGUGGUUUCCCCUUUGGGGCCGGUUCACAGGUGGUGCAUGGUUGUCGUCAGCUCGUGUCGUGAGAUGUUGGGUUAAGUCCCGCAACGAGCGCAACCCUCGUUCCAUGUUGCCAGCGCGUAAUGGCGGGGACUCAUGGGAGACUGCCGGGGUCAACUCGGAGGAAGGUGGGGACGACGUCAAAUCAUCAUGCCCCUUAUGUCUUGGGCUUCACGCAUGCUACAAUGGCCGGUACAAAGGGUUGCGAUACUGUGAGGUGGAGCUAAUCCCAAAAAGCCGGUCUCAGUUCGGAUUGGGGUCUGCAACUCGACCCCAUGAAGUCGGAGUCGCUAGUAAUCGCAGAUCAGCAACGCUGCGGUGAAUACGUUCCCGGGCCUUGUACACACCGCCCGUCAAGUCACGAAAGUUGGUAACACCCGAAGC
rnacentral:rRNA from 1 species